rnacentral:rRNA from 1 species
UUGGAGGGCAAGUCYGGUGCCAGCAGCCGCGGUAAUUCCAGCUCCAAUAGCGUAUAUUAAAGUUGUUGCAGUUAAAAAGCUCGUAGUUGAAUUUCGGGAUCAGAGUGUCGGUCGUGCCUCGGUACGAACUGGUAUUAUUGGUUCCUACCUUCUGAAGAACCGCGAUGUCAUUAAUUUGGUGUCGUGGGGAAUCAGGACUGUUACUUUGAAAAAAUUAGAGUGUUUAAAGCAGGCUUACGCUUGAAUACAUUAGCAUGGAAUAAUGAAAUAGGACGUUUGAUUCUAUUUUGUUGGUUUCUAGGAUUGACGUAAUGAUUAAUAGGGAUAGUUGGGGGCAUUAGUAUUCAAUUGUCAGAGGUGAAAUUCUUGGAUUUAUUGAAGACUAACUACUGCGAAAGCAUUUGCCAAGGAUGUUUCCAUUAAUCAAGAACGAAAGUUAGGGGAUCGAAGACGAUCGGAUACCGUCGUAGUCUUAACCAUAAACUAUGCCGACUAGGGAUCGGAUGAUGUUAAUUUUUUAAUGACUCAUUCGGCGCCUUACGGGAAACCAAAGUGUUUGGGUUC